UCUUGGUCAUUUAGAGGAAGUAAAAGUCGUAACAAGGUCUCCGUUGGUGAACCAGCGGAGGGAUCAUUACCAAGAGUGCCUUCAGGCUCUCCAACCCACUGUGAACAUACCUAAGUUCCCUCGGCGGGCUCAGCGCGCGGCGGUCCUCCCGGGCCCCGCGCGUCCGCCGGGGGCCAGCAAACUCGAAUUUACUACGUGUAUCUCUGAGGGGCGAAAGCCCGUAAAACAAAAAUGAAUCAAAACUUUCAACAACGGAUCUCUUGGCUCUGGCAUCGAUGAAGAACGCAGCGAAAUGCGAUAAGUAAUGUGAAUUGCAGAAUUCAGUGAAUCAUCGAAUCUUUGAACGCACAUUGCGCCCGCCAGCACUCUGGCGGGCAUGCCUGUCCGAGCGUCAUUUCAACCCUCAGGCCCCCCGUCCGCGGGGAACCGGCCUGGCGUUGGGGCUCAGCGGCCUUCACCGGCCCCUGUCCCCGAAAUUCAGUGGCGGUCGCGCCGCAGCCUCCCCUGCGUAGUAGCACACCUCGCACCGGAGAGCGGCACGGCCACGCCGUAAAACCCCCCAGUUUUACCAAGGUUGACCUCGGAUCAGGUAGGAAUACCCGCUGAACUUAAGCAUAUCAAUAAGCGGAGGAA
rnacentral:rRNA from 1 species